rnacentral:rRNA from 1 species
UACGAAGGGGGCUAGCGUUGCUCGGAAUGACUGGGCGUAAAGGGCGCGUAGGCGGUUUGAUCAGUUAGGUGUGAAAUUCCUGGGCUUAACCUGGGGGCUGCACUUAAUACGGUUAGACUAGAGUGUGAAAGAGGGUCGUGGAAUUCCCAGUGUAGAGGUGAAAUUCGUAGAUAUUGGGAAGAACACCGGUGGCGAAGGCGGCGACCUGGUUCAUUACUGACGCUGAGGCGCGAAAGCGCGGGGAGCAAACAGG